GCUGGAUUGGGGUAUAUUGUACAUAGGACAGCAUCUGCAAAAAUGAUGAAGAAAAAUAAGUCUUAGGUCAUUGUAUAAAGUAUCUUGUAUGAAUCCCAUCAUAACUUGAUGGGGAUCUUCUACAUAUAGCUUCCAACUUUUUAUUUUUCUUGAUCCUUUUCAUGUUAUAGAAUCAUUUGACUAAAUUAUUAGAACGCAUAUGCAGAGUUUAUAGAGAAGAAUUGUCAAUGAAAAUGAGCCAGCGAUUCCCCUUUGUUUUUAUCUAUUAUUUAAACAUACAUAUGUACAUACAUAUCUACAGAAUUUUCGCAUACAGUAUAGGUCGUAAAUAUACGGUCUGUUGUCCGUUUGUUUUGCUUUUAGUUUUCACUCGCUCUGCGGCAAAGUGAAAUUGAACGUAUCGAACAUACAUAUGAACAUACAUACUGCUAUAUACAAACAAAUGCAUAUAUAUAGUCCGAUAUAUAGAAAGUCAGAUGUAGGCAAGGAAUUUCUGGCAGAGAUUUAGUGCAUCAUUGACAUUGGCUUGCGGGUCAGUUGGUCUGUUUUUCGACUUUGAUAUGCAAUUGAGAUAAUUAAAUCAGCGUGGGAUAUGUAAAAUGUAUAUUACCUGGGUGCCAGCCAGUGCCGCAGUGACGUCACCGACUGUCAACGCCAAGGUCGCCAGUUUGUCAAUAAAAUAAUCGCAACUUUGUCAAAGUUUAA